GAUGAACGCUGGCGGCGUGCCUAACACAUGCAAGUCGAGCGGUAAGGCCCUUCGGGGUACACGAGCGGCGGACGGCUGAGUAACACGUGGGAACGUGCCCCAAGUGAGGGAUAAGCUCCAGAAAUGGAGUCUAAUACCGCAUAUGGUCUUCGGAUUAAAGUAUUUAUACGCUUUGGGAGCGGCCUGCGUACGAUUAGAUUGUUGGUGAGGUAAAGGCUCACCAAGUCGACGAUCGUUAACUGGUCUGAGAGGAUGAUCAGUCAGACUGGAACUGAGACACGGUCCAGACUCCUACGGGAGGCAGCAGUGAGGAAUCUUCCACAAUGGGGGCAACCCUGAUGGAGCAACGCCGCGUGCAGGAUGAAGGCCUUCGGGUUGUAUACUGCUUUUAUUAGCGAAGAAUAUGACGGUAACUAAUGAAUAAGGGUCGGCUAACUACGUGCCAGCCGCCGCGGUAA
rnacentral:rRNA from 1 species